CAGUCGCCGCGGUAAGAUAGAGGAUGCAAGCGUUAUCCGGAAUGAUUGGGCGUAAAGCGUCUGUAGGUGGCUUUUCAAGUCCGCCGUCAAACCCCAGGGCUCAACCCUGGACAGGCGGUGGAAACUACCAAGCUAGAGUACGGUAGGGGCAGAGGGAAUUUCCGGUGGAGCGGUGAAAUGCGUUGAGAUCGAAAAGAACACCAACGACGAAAGCACUCUGCUGGGUCGACACUGACACUGAGAGACGAAAGCUAGGGGAGCAAAUGGGAUUAGAUACCCCAGUAGUCCCUGUCUCUUAUAC
rnacentral:rRNA from 1 species